rnacentral:rRNA from 1 species
AUUGAACGCUGGCGGCAGGCCUAACACAUGCAAGUCGAACGAGUGGCGGACGGGUGAGUAAUGUCUGGGCAACUGCCUGAUGGAGGCGGAUAACUACUGGAAACGGUAGCUACUACCGCAUAACAUCAGUUGUGCCCAGAUGGGAUUAGCUUGUCGGUGGGGUAACGGCUCAUCAAGGCGUCGAUCCCUAGCUGGUCUGAGAGGAUGACCAGCCACACUGGAACUGAGACACGGUCCAGACUCCUACGGGAGGCAGCAGUGGGGAAUAUUGCGCAAUGGGCGAAAGCCUGAUGCAGCAAUGCCGCGUGUAUGAAGAAGGCCUUCGGAUUGUAAAGUACUGUCGGCGGAGAGGCGUUACCCGCAGAAGAAGCACCGGCUAACUACGUGCCAGCAGCCGCGGUAAUAC